rnacentral:rRNA from 1 species
ACUCAAAGGAAUUGACGGGGGCCCGCACAAGCGGUGGAGCAUGUGGUUUAAUUCGAUGCAACGCGAAGAACCUUACCAAGGUUUGACAUCCCUGGAAGUCGGUGGAAACACUGAUGUGCCGCAAGGAGCCAGGAGACAGGUGGUGCAUGGCUGUCGUCAGCUCGUGUCGUGAGAUGUUGGGUUAAGUCCCGCAACGAGCGCAACCCUCGAUGUCAGUUGCCAACGGGUAAAGCCGGGCACUCUGGCGUGACUGCCGGUGACAAACCGGAGGAAGGUGGGGAUGACGUCAAGUCAUCAUGCCCCUUAUGCCUUGGGCUACACACGUGCUACAAUGGUCGGGACAACGGGCAGCAAAGCCGCGAGGUGGAGCCAAUCCUCAAACCCGGCCUCAGUUCAGAUUGCAGGCUGCAACUCGCCUGCAUGAAGGUGGAAUCGCUAGUAACCGUAGGUCAGCAUACUGCGGUGAAUACGUUCCCGGGCCUUGUACACACCGCCCGU